AAGUGUUAAAGUUCUUGUAGAAUUUUCCUAGUAGGUUUUUUCGGUUUUCACUAGAAGACACCCCC
ensembl:snRNA U7 U7 small nuclear RNA